CGGAAACGGACGCUAAUACCGCAUACGUCCUACGGGAGAAAGCAGGGGACCUUCGGGCCUUGCGCUAUCAGAUGAGCCUAGGUCGGAUUAGCUAGUUGGUGAGGUAAUGGCUCACCAAGGCUACGAUCCGUAACUGGUCUGAGAGGAUGAUCAGUCACACUGGAACUGAGACACGGUCCAGACUCCUACGGGAGGCAGCAGUGGGGAAUAUUGGACAAUGGGCGAAAGCCUGAUCCAGCCAUGCCGCGUGUGUGAAGAAGGUCUUCGGAUUGUAAAGCACUUUAAGUUGGGAGGAAGGGCAUUAACCUAAUACGUUGGUGUCUUGACGUUACCGACAGAAUAAGCACCGGCUAACUCUGUGCCAGCAGCCGCGGUAAUACAGAGGGUGCAAGCGUUAAUCGGAAUUACUGGGCGUAAAGCGCGCGUAGGUGGUUUGUUAAGUUGAAUGUGAAAUCCCCGGGCUCAACCUGGGAACUGCAUCCAAAACUGGCAAGCUAGAGUAUGGUAGAGGGUAGUGGAAUUUCCUGUGUAGCGGUGAAAUGCGUAGAUAUAGGAAGGAACACCAGUGGCGAAGGCGACUACCUGGACUGAUACUGACACUGAGGUGCGAAAGCGUG
rnacentral:rRNA from 1 species